CACCUCUCAGGAUCGCCCCUCGAGAAUUUCCAGUCCUCUACUAGUCUCGACAACGGGAGGGAGAGUCAAGCAGAGGCCUGUCCAUUCCAUUCCUAGCUUGGGCAGUGGCUAGUGAGUGGAAGGCAAUCUGCUGCAAGU